ensembl:lncRNA
GGGUGUGCAUGUGGCUGGUGGUGUUGUGGUCUGGAUGUACUGUAGGUCCUCUAUGUGUAGGCCCGGAGGAGGGGGGGUGUCUGUGAGAGUGUCUCGCUGGUCUGGGCAGGCUGUUUAUUGAUCUGUUGCUCCUGUGUGAAGUGUUGGGGCUGCGUUUGAGAGCGAUGUCCUUUAGAGUCCGGGCGAAGGUGAGCACUGCUGCCUUGUAUAGGUGGACCUGGUCAUAGAGGCUGUUCAGGGUAGAGUGGUGGGCCAGGAAAACAUUUGGUUUUGAGGCACAGUCACGGGAAAUACUUGCGUUUACCCGCUGUAUGGUUGCAGGGUGGAAGUCUUUUCAUGGUAGCAUUGGAGAAAGUAGAAGAAGCUUUUUCAAUCACUCCCUUCAGUGCUGUGGCAAUCCAAUCCUGCUAUGUUCUCAGGUUGUUUGUGCCUGUGUGUAUUAUUAUGUGGCUAGGUGAACCUAGUUGGUCCUCAGACAGAAGGUCUAGGGCACCCUGGAUGUUUGGGCACCCUGGAUGUUUGGACACCAGAGUUUAGACACACUGUGCUUGGGAAAAUGUUUUUUAUUCUUGUAUAUUUUUCCCAUUUGAGUCCAUCAGAAGUACAAUACACUCUCUCCCUCCCUCUCUCAUCUAUCACUCGCUUUCUCUCUUCCCCUCCCUCCUCUCUUUCACCCUCCUUCUCUCUACCCUCUCUUACCCUCCCUCACGCUCCCACUUCUCUCUCCCCCCUCUAUUACUUAUUUCCCCUCUCCCCCUUCUCUCCUCUCUUCUCUUCUCAUCUCCCAACUUCACCUCUCUCUCUUCUCUCACCUCCACAGACAGGAUAUUGACGCAUAGAUAUACAGUACAUCAAGGGUAUUGACUCAUACAGUAAGUCAAUACAUAGCAUUCAAGGCAAAAAAGUUGGUGAUAAAGCUGCAAUGGGUAAAUUGGUGAAAGACUCAGAAAGACAGACAGACAUACAGACACAGAGAGACAGACAGCCAGCCAGGUAGACAGACAAACCAUAAACCUAACCCUAAACUAACCCUACUUCAUGUCCACAUACCUGGGGUAAGUUGUGCCGAGAGACCACUUUAUUUGGACAAGAUAUGUUUUGAAAACUGUAAUGUUUUCAGAUUAUUUCCAGGGAUACACAACAUCCUGAAAAAUAUGUAAAUAUCUUUGUAUACUAUAAUACUAUGUUUCCCUUGAUGGAGAAAAGCUGAAUGUAAAAAAUGUGCUCAACUUACCCCACUCUCACUUACACUGAAAAUAACAUUUGGGUUGGGUUCGGGACCAGUUCUUGCGGAACUGCGGUUAGGUUCGGGACCACUUCUUGCAGGACUGCGGGUGGGUUCGGGACCAUUUCUUGCAGGACUGCGGUUGGGUUCGGGACCAGUUCUUGCAGGAGCAGAUGGGAGUCUGACAAAAAGCCAGUGGGGGUGAGCUGGUACGGUAUGAAAAGCUGCUUGUGUGGUUGGGUGGGAGCGGGAUGAAGAAAUCAGUCCUGUGCAGACCUCUAGCUCUACUGUUAGCCAGAUAGCUAGUUAUAACUAGCUGGCUAGAAGGAUGAAGUCAGAAGCUAAUGUUUAACAGAGCCUGACCUCAGCAGGAGGAGUCAACUGAAAUUAAACUAGCUAUAAUCUUAACUAAAGAUAUGCUAUUAGAAGUUCUCAUAACAAAAUAACUUUGCUUUACAGAGAGCAGUGAGGCAGACAGUGGUGAGGCCGACCGCAAUGCAGACACACAGACAGAGACAGCAAGCAGAGAGAUUGGGGUCCCCUGAAAUUGAGAAUGUUUCAUCUUAUCAAACACAUUGUUUAUCAUCAAAUGGCUUUAGAAUACAUAUAUUUUUUUAUUCAACAAGGCAAGUCAGUUAAGAACACAUUUUUAUUUACAAUGACGGCCUACACCAGACAAACCUGACGACACUGGGCCAAUUGUGCUCCGCUCUAUGGGACUCCCUAUCACAGCCGGUUGUGAUACAGCCUGGAUUUGAACUAGGGUGUCUGCAGUGACACCUCUAGCACUGAGAUGCAGUGCCUUAGACCGCUGCACCACUCAGGAGCCACAUACAACAUUUUUUGAGUCAACUACGGUCCUUUUACAAUGCUAGAAUGCACUUGCUUGUCAUUAUGUGUUGGGACAGCCCGUGGGACCUAAAAUGUAAUAAAUUAAAUAGACAAUUUAAUAUUAUUCUCAUGUAUUUGAAAAUCUAUUGUUAAAACUGCUUUGCAGAGAGUAGUGAGACAGACAGUGAUGAGGCGGAGGCAGGCUGCAAUUCAGGAGGAGGUGGAGGAGACAGACAGACAUCGAUGAGGCGGAGGCAGGCUGCAAUUCAGGAGGAGGUGGAGGAGACAGACAGUGACGAGGCGGAGUCAGGCUGCAAUUCAGUAGGAGGUGGAGGAGACAGACAGUGAUGAGGCGGAGGCAGGCUUCAAUUCAGGAGGAGGUAGAGGAGACAGACAGUGAUGAGGCUGAGGCAGGCUGCAAUUAAAGAGUAGGUGGAGGAGACAGACAGUGAUGAGGCUGAGGCAGGCUGCAAUUCAAGAGGAGGUGGAGGAGACAGACAGUGAUGAGGCGGAGGCAGGCUGCAAUUCAGGAGGAGGUGGAGGAGACAGACAGUGAUGAGGCUGAGGCAGGCUGCAAUUCAGGAGGAGGUGGAGGAGACAGACAGUGAUGAGGCUGAGGCAGGCUGCAAUUCAGGAGGAGGUGGAGGAGACCGACAGUGAUAAGGCUGAGGCAGGCUGCAAUUCAGGAGGAGGUGGAGGAGACAGACAGUGAUGAGGCGGAGGCAGGCUGCAAUUCAGGAGUAGGUGGAGAAGACAGACAGUAAUGAGGCGGAGGCAGGCUGCAAUUCAGGAGGAGGUGGAGGAGACAGACAGUGAUGAAGUGGAGGCAGGCUGCAAUUCAGGAGGAGUUGUUUCGGUUUAUAUUGGUGUUUGUUCGUCUUAUCUCGAUCGUCCAGUGGAGUUUAUAGUUUAACAACCUUUUUUUUUUUACCACUGGUAUCACUGGUGACCUUUUAAGAAAGCCCUGUGUCGAGGUUCAGCUUAAUUUGGCAGGAGUGACUUAAUUCAUCCUCAACAUGGUGCUCCAUUCUCUCCCUGCGAAAACACAUUUCCAUCAUCUGAAUUGUUAGUGUCCCCAGGAGGCCGUACAUUGACUUUCAGGUUCCUGUGAUUACAGGAAGUGUCUUAAUUGGGGGUCAUAGGGGCGGUUUUGAAGGAUUAUAAAAGUUAAAUCAACCCAAAAGCAUUUUUGACCUCUAUUGGACAUAAUGGUCUUGCAGUUCAAGAAAUUAAAAUUACCUGGCUACCCAGACUCCUCACUCCGGCCAAACGCCCACGAACGUUAUUUUCUUCUUCGCAAUGAGUCUGGAUCUGAGUACCUCCGUUGGGAGGCAGUCUCAGACUAACGAAUGUAGCAAACGACAGAGCAGCAGAAUCAUUUAGUGUGAGUCGUUAGGCUUAAAAAUUGUUAGAAUGAAUUCUGAAGAGCAUGAUGGUCACAUUUUUAUAUAUUUACUUGAAACUGUCUGUCUGUCUGCCUGUGCAUGUCUUGCUGUCUGUCUGUCUUUCUGCCUGCCUACAGCUCUCUGUCUGCCUGCCUGCCUGCCUGCCUGCCUGUCUGGUUCUCGGAAUAUCUUUCUUUGAGUGUCUGUUUGUCUGUCUGAGUCUUUCACCAAUUUACCCAUUGCAGCUGUAUCACCAACCUUUUCGCCUUGGAAGCAAUGUAUUGACUUAUGCGCCAAUGCCCUGUCUGUGAAGAUGGGAGAGAGGAGGAAGAGAAAGGAAGGAGAGAGAGAGAUGAGAUGAGGGGGAGGGAUGGAAGAAGGAGCGAG